rnacentral:rRNA from 1 species
GAUGAACGCUGGCGGCGUGCCUAAUACAUGCAAGUCGAGCGAACGGACGAGAAGCUUGCUUCUCUGAUGUUAGCGGCGGACGGGUGAGUAACACGUGGAUAACCUACCUAUAAGACUGGGAUAACUUCGGGAAACCGGAGCUAAUACCGGAUAAUAUUUUGAACCGCAUGGUUCAAAAGUGAAAGACGGUCUUGCUGUCACUUAUAGAUGGAUCCGCGCUGCAUUAGCUAGUUGGUAAGGUAACGGCUUACCAAGGCAACGAUGCAUAGCCGACCUGAGAGGGUGAUCGGCCACACUGGAACUGAGACACGGUCCAGACUCCUACGGGAGGCAGCAGUAGGGAAUCUUCCGCAAUGGGCGAAAGCCUGACGGAGCAACGCCGCGUGAGUGAUGAAGGUCUUCGGAUCGUAAAACUCUGUUAUUAGGGAAGAACAUAUGUGUAAGUAACUGUGCACAUCUUGACGGUACCUAAUCAGAAAGCCACGGCUAACUACGUGCCAGCAGCCGCGGUAAUACGUAGGUGGCAAGCGUUAUCCGGAAUUAUUGGGCGUAAAGCGCGCGUAGGCGGUUUUUUAAGUCUGAUGUGAAAGCCCACGGCUCAACCGUGGAGGGUCAUUGGAAACUGGAAAACUUGAGUGCAGAAGAGGAAAGUGGAAUUCCAUGUGUAGCGGUGAAAUGCGCAGAGAUAUGGAGGAACACCAGUGGCGAAGGCGACUUUCUGGUCUGUAACUGACGCUGAUGUGCGAAAGCGUGGGGAUCAAACAGGAUUAGAUACCCUGGUAGUCCACGCCGUAAACGAUGAGUGCUAAGUGUUAGGGGGUUUCCGCCCCUUAGUGCUGCAGCUAACGCAUUAAGCACUCCGCCUGGGGAGUACGACCGCAAGGUUGAAACUCAAAGGAAUUGACGGGGACCCGCACAAGCGGUGGAGCGUGUGGUUUAAUUCGAAGCAACGCGAAGAACCUUACCAAAUCUUGACAUCCUUUGACAACUCUAGAGAUAGAGCCUUCCCCUUCGGGGGGGGCAAAGUGACAGGUGGUGCAUGGUUGUCGUCAGCUCGUGUCGUGAGAUGUUGGGUUAAGUCCCGCAACGAGCGCAACCCUUAAGCUUAGUUGCCAUCAUUAAGUUGGGCACUCUAAGUUGACUGCCGGUGACAAACCGGAGGAAGGUGGGGAUGACGUCAAAUCAUCAUGCCCCUUAUGAUUUGGGCUACACACGUGCUACAAUGGACAAUACAAAGGGCAGCGAAACCGCGAGGUCAAGCAAAUCCCAUAAAGUUGUUCUCAGUUCGGAUUGUAGUCUGCAACUCGACUACAUGAAGCUGGAAUCGCUAGUAAUCGUAGAUCAGCAUGCUACGGUGAAUACGUUCCCGGGUCU